AACAUCAUCUCGUCUAGCUGAUGAGACCACUCACUUCUCAAAAGGAUAACCCGUCCUUCUGUAUGACAUUGAAUAAGUCCAGGACACAGAUUCUUCAGAAGACUGAAUUUGAAUGGAUCAGAUCCUUCAGCAUUCUCAACCAUCUAUAUCCACAUUUAAACAGGAGGAAAUAAAGAAGGGAUUAUAUGAACCGUUUGAGUGAUAAGUAUCAGCCAGCUCACUGACUUUUAUGACUUGUUGCCUGCUGUUCACAUGUUGACAUUUUCAUGUUAUAGUCCUGCAAAGUGAAAACUUCUCAUUUUCUUUCUGGCUAUGUGUAGAAGGUUAUAUUUAAAUUGUCACAGAUUACAGCAACAAACUAAUGGUGUGGUAAAUUUAUGCGAAAUGGCUUUUGCAAAAAUGUCUAUUAUAUAACUGAGAACAGGCGCCUAUAAGCUUGUGUUUUAAAGUAUAUGUCUAUAUAUAAAUACAAUAUCUAAUUAGAAUGUAGCAUUAAUAUUGUAACAUAAUGAAGUUUUUUUUUUGCAUAGUCCCACAAUUAUUUUAUGCAUGAUAAUUGUACUCAGUGUGAUU